rnacentral:tRNA from 2 species
GUGGCUGUGGCUCAGUGGUAGAGCACUCGCCUAGCACAUGUGAGGCACUGGGUUCGAUCCCCAGUACCACA